rnacentral:rRNA from 1 species
AUGCAGUAUGGCGGGGAUUGGGACGGUUCCAACGUCCACAAGGAUCACGUCGAAUUCCUCCGCAAGACAUGGCGGCUGCCCGGCGCGGACAAGGUGGAGGUCCGUCUCGCGCCGGCGAAGGAGAUUACGCCGGAGCCGCGGGAGGGCGAGCGGGUAGUCUUUCGCUCGCAUUUCUUGCGCGACAUCGGCCUGCCCGUGAGCGCCUUCUUCCGCUCUUGGCUCGAGUUCUACCAACUCCAGCCGCACCACCUCCCCCCAAACACAGUGGUGCUGCUGUCCGCCUUCGUCACCUUGUGCGAAGGCUACCUCGGCGUCCUCCCCACCCUCGAGCUCUGGGGGGAGUUCUUCCAGUCCAAGCUGGGCACGCGCAUGCAAGGCGUGCCGGCUCAGAGUGGCGCCUUCAUCGCGAUGCGGAGGGUGGCUGCCGACAACCCCUUCCCCGUCAUCACGCUGAUCCAGUCGGUGAAGCUAUGGCAAAAGUCAUACUUCUACGUGAGGAACGUCGCCCCGCAGGGCGACUACGUCAAUCUGCCGGCUUACGUAGCCGGCCCACCGGCGGGCAGGCGGCCCCAGUGGUCCUACCGGGCCGUGACGCUGACGCCGGCUGGAAACGCAGCCGUCGCCCGAGUGCGAGCGAUGAUCCAGUCGGAGGGCUUGUCGGGGCCCGACUCGCUGGCCGCCUUCGUCACGCGCCGGGUACUCCCGCUCCAGAGCCGCCCUCAUCUGAUCUGUCAGAUGAGCGGCCAGCUUGAUCCGAGCCGGAUGUGUACCAAGGACAUGCCGCACGACGAGGUGGCAUAUAUGGUGAACUACCUUGCGAACUGCAAACUCUCCGCAGAGUGGAAGUUCGGCAAGGAGCCAUAUUGCCGAGCCAAUCCGCCGCCUACGGUAUGUUCUCCUUGUCUCUUCUUCUUCUCUCAGUUUUGUCGCCGAGUUCCUUUUGGCCGACUCUGA